UACGGGGGGGCAAGCGUUGUUCGGAAUUACUGGGCGUUAAAGGGCUUGUAGGCGGCCAACUAAGGUCAUACGUGAAAUCCCUCGGCCUUAACCGGGGAACGUGCGUCUGGAUACUGGAUGGCUUGAGAUUGGGAGAGGGAUGCGGAAUUCCAGGUGUAGCGGUGAAAUGCGUAGAUAUCUGGAGGAACACCUGCGGCGGAAGGCGGGUUGCUGGGCUGACACUGACGCUGGAAGUGACGAAAGCCUAGGGGAGCGAACGGG
rnacentral:rRNA from 1 species